GUAACAAGGUCUCCGUUGGUGAACCAGCGGAGGGAUCAUUACUGAGUUUACGCUCUAUAACCCUUUGUGAACAUACCUAUAACUGUUGCUUCGGCGGGUAGGGUCUCCGCGACCCUCCCGGCCUCCCGCCUCCGGGCGGGUCGGCGCCCGCCGGAGGAUAACCAAACUCUGAUUUAACGACGUUUCUUCUGAGUGGUACAAGCAAAUAAUCAAAACUUUUAACAACGGAUCUCUUGGUUCUGGCAUCGAUGAAGAACGCAGCGAAAUGCGAUAAGUAAUGUGAAUUGCAGAAUUCAGUGAAUCAUCGAAUCUUUGAACGCACAUUGCGCCCGCCAGCAUUCUGGCGGGCAUGCCUGUUCGAGCGUCAUUUCAACCCUCAAGCUCUGCUUGGUGUUGGGGCCCUACAGCUGAUGUAGGCCCUCAAAGGUAGUGGCGGACCCUCCCGGAGCCUCCUUUGCGUAGUAACUUUACGUCUCGCACUGGGAUCCGGAGGGACUCUUGCCGUAAAACCCCCCAAUUUUCCAAAGGUUGACCUCGGAUCAGGUAGGAAUACCCGCUGAACUUAAGCAUAUCAA
rnacentral:rRNA from 1 species